rnacentral:rRNA from 1 species
UACGUAGGGUGCAAGCGUUAAUCGGAAUUACUGGGCGUAAAGCGUGCGCAGGCGGUUUUGUAAGUUUGUCGUGAAAUCCCCGGGCUCAACCUGGGAAUUGCGAUGAAGACUGCAAGGCUAGAAUCUGGCAGAGGGGGGUAGAAUUCCACGUGUAGCAGUGAAAUGCGUAGAGAUGUGGAGGAACACCGAUGGCGAAGGCAGCCCCCCUGGGUCAAGAUUGACGCUCAUGCACGAAAGGCGUGGGGAGCAAACAG